CCUACGGGGCGCAGCAGUGAGGAAUAUUGGUCAAUGGGAGGAAUCCUGAACCAGCCAUGCCGCGUGCAGGACGACGGCUCUACGAGUUGUAAACUGCUUUUGUACCGGGGUAAAAUGCCUUACGAGUAGGGUUUUGAAAGUACGGUACGAAUAAGGAUCGGCUAACUCCGUGCCAGCAGCCGCGGUAAUACGGAGGAUCCGAGCGUUAUCCGGAUUCAUUGGGUUUAAAGGGAGCGUAGGUUGUUUUAUAAGUUAGUGGAGAAAUAC
rnacentral:rRNA from 1 species